AGCAGCCGCGGUAAUUCCAGCUCCAAUAGCGUAUAUUAAAGUUGUUGCAGUUAAAAAGCUCGUAGUUGAAUUUCGGAAUCAAUAUAUCGGUCGUGCCAUUGGUACGUACUGGUAUCAUUGGUUUCUCCUUUCUGACGAACCAUGAUGUCAUUAAUUUGGUGUUAUGGGAAGUUAGGACUGUUACUUUGAAAAAAUUAGAGUGUUUAAAGCAGGCUUUAGCUUGAAUACAUUAGCAUGGAAUAAUGAAAUAGGACGUUCGAACCUAUUUUGUUGGUUUCUAGGAUCAACGUAAUGAUUAAUAGGGAUAGUUGGGGGCAUUAGUAUUCAAUUGUCAGAGGUGAAAUUCUUGGAUUUAUUGAAGACUAACUACUGCGAAAGCAUUUGCCAAGGAUGUUUUCAUUAAUCAAGAACGAAAGUUAGGGGAUCGAAGACGAUCAGAUACCGUCGUAGUCUUAACCAUAAACUAUGCCGACUAGGGAUCGGAUGAUGUUAAUUUUUAAUGACUCAUUCGGCGCCUUAC
rnacentral:rRNA from 1 species